UCUGGCGGCAGUAGCGCGGUGGUCCCACCUGACCCCAUGCCGAACUCAGAAGUGAAACGCCGUAGCGCCGAUGGUAGUGAGGGGUCUCCCCAUGCGAGAGUAGGGAACUGCCAGAC
rnacentral:rRNA from 1 species